CCCAAAAUUUACCAAUUUUUGUUACCAUCAUCCAACAUCUUGGAACGUUUCUUCAGCUCAGCAGGUUACGCUUUUAAUGAUUUUCGGCAAUACUUAACACCAAUGAAUUUAGAAAUACAAUUAUUUCUAAAAUUCAAUCGCACUUUCUGGGACGAAGACCUAGUUUCAGAAAUCUGCAAUCGUUCAUGAACUUUUGCUAUAUUAGAACAUUUUA